rnacentral:rRNA from 1 species
UACGGGGGGAGCAAGCGUUGUUCGGAUUUACUGGGCGUAAAGGGCGCGUAGGCGGCCACUGCAAGUCGGUUGUGAAAUCUCCGGGCUUAACCCGGAAAGGUCAAUCGAUACUGCAGGGCUAGAGUGCAGAAGGGGCAACUGGAAUUCUCGGUGUAGCGGUGAAAUGCGUAGAUAUCGAGAGGAACACCUGCGGCGAAGGCGGGUUGCUGGGCUGACACUGACGCUGGGGCGCGAAAGCCAGGGGAGCGAACGGG